GAUGUGACACUGCCAACAUGGACGUUUUCUCCCUUAACAUUUAUCAAUCAAACUGCGUUAUGUUCACAGUUAGAUUUGCAAAAUGUAAAUGAUAACCAUGAUUCAACCAUGAUUCAACAAUGCACAGUAUUAAGUUGUCCAUGUGAAUCAAAAGCUAUUAGAAAAGAUGGAAAUUGCUUCUUCCGGUCACUGGCUUUGGCAAUUUGCGGCACUGAAAGCCCUCACAUGAAAAUUCGAAAACAAGUGGUAAGACACUUAAUGAAAAAUGAGGAAACUUUUCAAAGGUUUCUGAGAAGUGAAUACACCUCUGUAGAACAUUACAUAAAGUCUUCACGAAUGAUGUAUGCAAACACGUGGGGCACUGAAUUGGAAAUUUUAAGUGCUGCAGAUCUAUUCCAUACUGACAUAUACACAUUUAAUUCUAAUCGCUGGAACAUGUACAAAAGUGUUUCAAGAACAAGUGACAAUGCCAUAUAUUUGAACCAUGUCAAUGGAAACCAUUAUGAAUUGGUAACAUGUGUAACAGAUACACAUUGUGAAAGUGGAUGUGCAUCAUUGUGCCAAGCAAAAAAAGCAAUGCUAAAGUGUAAUGUCAAUUUGAGGAAAAGGUUAACAACUGGUAGAAUACAACAUUGUCAAGAUAAAGCUGCUAAUAAGAAGCACAAAUACCAGAAUGAUAUUCAAUUUCAACAAAAUUGCAUUAUGUUGCAACAGAAAUUAUAUGCGACAGAUGAUCAAUACAGAAUAAACAAAUUGCAGUCCAGCCAAGAUCAGUACAGAACAGAUGCAGACUUUCAAACUAAAGUUAAAGAAUACAGUAAGAGGAAAUACAAAUGUGAUGCAGACUUUCAAACUAAAGUUAAAGAAUACAGUCAGAAGAAAUACAAAUCGGAUGCAGACUUUCAAACUACAGUUAAAGAGUACAGUAAAAAAAAAUACAAAUGUGAUGCAGACUUUCAAACUAAAGUAAAAGAAUCUAGCAAGAAGAAAUACAAUUCUGAUAUUGACUUUCAAAGCAGUGUUAAAACACACAGCAGCCAAACAUAUAUUGCUAAGAAAAAUCAGACAUAUUCCAUGGAUUUUGUCAUUGAAUCUUUUAGAAAAAGUGUCAAAACAGGCCCUGAAUUUGUUUGCUCAGUAUGUCAUCGCCAGCUUUUUCGAAAGCAAGUCAUUGAAUGUAAACAUGAUAAGUACACAACCAGUCCAACUGUACUUGCUUUGGCUAAAAAGUGCAUUACAGAAACAUAUUUACAAACUUGUGAAGAAUGUGAUGAUAACUGCACUGCACAUAUUCAAUCAUCUAAGUUGUGGAUAUGUCACACAUGUGACCGUAAAAUAUUUGCUGGUAGAAUGCCUGAACAAAGCGUAGCCAAUAACUUGCAUUUGGAAGCCAUUCCUUCUCAGCUACAGUGCUUAAAUUCCCUUGAGCAACACUUAAUAGCGAAACAUAUUCCUUUUAUGAAACUUUUGGC
rnacentral:lncRNA from 1 species